rnacentral:rRNA from 1 species
GAGUUUGAUCUUGGCUCAGAGUGAACGCUGGCGGCAGGCCUAACACAUGCAAGUCGAACGGCAGCACAGUCCCGCAAGGGAUGGGUGGCGAGUGGCGGACGGGUGAGGAAUACAUCGGAAUCUACCUUGUCGUGGGGGAUAACGUAGGGAAACUUACGCUAAUACCGCAUACGACCUACGGGUGAAAGCGGCGGACCGCAAGGCGUCGCGCGAUUGGAUGAGCCGAUGUCCGAUUAGCUAGUUGGCGGGGUAAAGGCCCACCAAGGCGACGAUCGGUAGCUGGUCUGAGAGGAUGAUCAGCCACACUGGAACUGAGACACGGUCCAGACUCCUACGGGAGGCAGCAGUGGGGAAUAUUGGACAAUGGUGGAAACACUGAUCCAGCCAUGCCGCGUGAAGGAUGAAUGCCCUAUGGGUUGUAAACUUCUUUUAAACGGGAAAAACCCCUCUACGUGUAGAGGCUGAUGGUACCGUAAGAAUAAGGAUCGGCUAACUUCGUGCCAGCCGCCGCCGUAA